UCCCAGGUGGCUCAGAUGGUAAAGAAUCUGUCUGCAAUGCAGGAGACCCUGGUUCAAUCCCUGGGUUGGGAA
rnacentral:tRNA from 1 species